rnacentral:tRNA from 2 species
GCGCCCGUAGCUCAGUGGAUAGAGCGCUGCCCUCCGGAGGCAGAAGUCGCUGGUUCGAAUCCAGCCGGGCGCG